rnacentral:rRNA from 1 species
UAGGGAAUCUUCGGCAAUGGACGGAAGUCUGACCGAGCAACGCCGCGUGAGUGAAGAAGGUUUUCGGAUCGUAAAGCUCUGUUGUUAGAGAAGAACGUUGGUAGGAGUGGAAAAUCUACCAAGUGACGGUAACUAACCAGAAAGGGACGGCUAACUACGUGCCCGCAGCCGCGGUAAUACGUAGGUCCCGAGCGUUGUCCGGUUUUAUUGGGCGUAAAGCGAGCGCAGGCGGUUCUUUAAGUCUGAAGUUAAAGGCAGUGGCUUAACCAUUGUAGGCUUUGGAAACUGGAGGACUUGAGUGCAGAAGGGGAGAGUGGAAUUCCAUGUGUAGCGGUGAAAUGCGUAGAUAUAUGGAGGAACACCGGUGGCGAAAGCGGCUCUCUGGUCUGUAACUGACGCGGAGGCUCGAAAGCGUGGGGAGCAAACAGG